rnacentral:rRNA from 1 species
CCUACGGGAGGCAGCAGUGGGGAAUCUUGCACAAUGGGGGAAACCCUGAUGCAGCGACGCCGCGUGAGUGAAGAAGUAAUUCGUUAUGUAAAGCUCUAUCAGCAGGGAAGAAACAGACGGUACCUGAGUGAGAAGCCCCGGCUAACUACGUGCCAGCAGCCGCGGUAAUACGGAGGGGGCAAGCGUUAUCCGGAUUUACUGGGUGUAAAGGGAGCGUAGACGGCGAAGAAAGUCUGAAGUGAAAGCCCGCGGCUUAACCGCGGAACUGCUUUGGAAACUUUUUUGCUGGAGUGUGUGAGAGGAUAGUGGAAUUCCAGGUGUAGGAGUGAAAUCCGUAGAUAUCUGGAGGAACAUCAGUGGCGAAGGCGACUAUCUGGCACAUAACUGACGCUGAGGAGCGAAAGCGUGGGUAGCAAACAGGAUUAGAUACCCGUGUAGUC